UGGGGAAUUGUUCGCAAUGGGCGCAAGCCUGACGACGCAACGCCGCGUGGAGGACGAAGAUCUUCGGAUCGUAAACUCCUGUCGAGCGGGACGAACGGCCCGGGACCUAACACGUCUCGGGAGUGACGGUACCGCUAAAGGAAGCCCCGGCUAACUCCGUGCCAGCAGCCGCGGUAAUACGGGGGGGGCCAGCGUUGUUCGGAAUUACUGGGCGUAAAGGGCGCGUAGGCGGCCUUCUAAGUCAGACGUGAAAUCCCUCGGCUCAACCGGGGAACUGCGUCUGAUACUGGAAGGCUUGAAUCCGGGAGAGGGAUGCGGAAUUCCAGGUGUAGCGGUGAAAUGCGUAGAUAUCUGGAGGAACACCGGUGGCGAAGGCGGCAUCCUGGACCGGUAUUGACGCUGAGGCGCGAAAGCCAGGGGAGCAAACGGG
rnacentral:rRNA from 1 species